rnacentral:rRNA from 1 species
AUUGAACGCUGGCGGCAGGCCUAACACAUGCAAGUCGAGCGAGCGGCGGACGGGUGAGUAAUGUAUGGGGACUGCCCGAUAGAGGGGGAUAACUACUGGAAACGGUAGCUAAUACCGCAUACUAUCGGAUAACCCAUAUGGGAUUAGCUAGUAGGUGAGGUAAUGGCUCACCUAGGCGACGAUCCCUAGCUGGUCUGAGAGGAUGAUCAGACACACUGGAACGGAGACAAGGCACAGACUCCUACGGAGGCAGCAGAGGGAAAUAUUGCAAAAUGGGCGCAAGCCUGAUGCAGCCAGGCCGGGUGGAUGAGGAAGGCCCUAGGGUUGUAAAGGACUUUCAGUCGGGAGGCGUUACCUACAUAAGAAGCUCCGGCUAACUCCGUGCCAGCAGCCGCGGUAAUAC